rnacentral:rRNA from 1 species
AACGAACGCUGGCGGCAGGCUUAACACAUGCAAGUCGAACGCCCCGCAAGGGGAGUGACAGACGGGUGAGUAACGCGUGGGAACGUGCCCUUCGCUUCGGAAUAGCCCCGGGAAACUGGGAGUAAUACCGAAUACGCCGUAUUGGGAAAGAUUUAUCGGCGAAGGAUGGGCCCGCGUUAGAUUAGCUAGUUGGCGGUGUAAUGGACCACCAAGGCUACGAUCUAUAGCUGGUCUGAGAGGAUGAUCAGCCACACUGGGACUGAGACACGGCCCAGACUCCUACGGGAGGCAGCAGUGGGGAAUCUUGGACAAUGGGCGCAAGCCUGAUCAGCCAUGCCGCGUGAGUGAAGAAGGCCUUAGGGUUGUAAAACUCUUUCGCCGGAGAAGAUAAUGACGGUAUCCGGAGAAGAAGCCCCGGCUAACUUCGUGCCAGCCGCCGCCGUAACAC